rnacentral:lncRNA from 1 species
GGAAAACACUCAUUUUGAUACAUGUCUAAUUUUGUUGUUGCUAUUGUUGGUAAGUUAUUCAUGUGGUUUUCUGGUCAUAUUUCCUAAUUUAGAGCAAUUUAUCACUGUAAUCCUUAAUAUGUUUUAUUUCAUUUCAAUGUCUGUAUUAUCUUAGCCUACUCAGGAUUCUAUAACCAUGGACUGGGUACCUUAUAAACAACAAUAAUUUAUUCCUUACAAUUCUGGAGGCUGGGAAGUCCAAGAUCAAGGUGCUGGGAAAUUCCAUGUCUGGUGAGGGCCUGCUUCCUGAUUCAUAGAAGCCUAUUCUCUGUAUCCUCACGUGGUGGAAGAAGCAAGACAGUUCUCUGGGACCUCUUUUACAAGGGCCCUAAUCCCAUUCAUGAAGUCUCCAUCCUCAUGAUCUAAUCAUCUCCUAAUACCAUCACCUUCCAGGUCCUGGCCAUCGCUGUGAGGCUGAAUGGAUACAGAUGCUACGGAUGGACGUGUCAUAAUAGUUUUAGCCACCAGAAGGAGCUCUAAAACAGACUACAGGGAAGUAUUAGACGUUCUGGCAAAGAGGAGGAAAAUAAUAUAUUGUCUACAGAUGGAGAGUGUAAACCACAUUAAAACUUAAUAAAGAAUUACAGAGUGGCUGAGGGAAUUAUAACACUAAAAAUUCUUCAGAAGACAAAAUACAAGUGCCCAAAGGCAUUAUGCUAGUACUGUGGUUUUGUUUUUUCUUUUUUAAGGGGAAAAAAUACACGAGAAAUAUUGAUUCAAUUAGUGAAGCCAAACAAGGCAUGAGAUUGUAAAUGAGAAUAAAUUUACACAGAGCUUCUCAACCCCUCCAUCUGCCAAAAUAUUCCUUUCAGUGGAGUCAGCCUUAUAGAUGAACAUUGGAAGAUGAUUCAAAAGAUGCUGACAGCUUCCCUUCAUCAGAAAUUUCUCUUCUGAUUAACCUCUAGUGCCUGAAAUUCUUAAGACUUGCGCUCCACCUUAAGAACUUUAAUUAUGUCUUAACAUUCUUGCUGUCUGUAAUUGAGUUAAGGCUUCACCUCAACUUGGAUGCGUAACAUUGACUAUUAGCAGGAUUUAGCUUAAAUGGCUUAAUCUUUUACUAGACAUCAUCAUAUACUAGGAAGGCAAGACUUUGAGGAUUAAAGUGAUAACAAUUUCUAACUGUGGAAGGAGUCCAGGUGUGGGAAACACAAUCUAUAGCCAAGGAAUAUUGUAUUGGGGAGGCUGCCAGGGCCAUGGGCACCUGUAGAAGAACAGUAUCAACCACAAAGUCAUAGUGAAGAAGCAAAAAAAUGGUAACAAACUCCCUCUUAGUCUGCUGUGGUUGCCGUAAAAAGUAUCACAUACUGAGUGACUUAAACAACAGAAAUUUAUGUUCUCAUAGCUCUGGAGGCUGGAAGUCCAAAAUCAUGGUGUUGGCAGGGUUGGUUCCUUCUGAGACCUCUCACCUUGCCUGUAGGUGACCAUCUUCUCCUUGUGUCUCCACAUGGUCUUCCCUCUUGUUCAUAUUUGUCUAAGUCUCAAUGUCCUCUUCUUGCAAGGACACCAGUUACGUUGGAUUAGGGCUGACCCAUGUGACUUCAUUUUAUCUUAAUCAUCUCUGUAAAGACCCUAUCUCUAAAUACAGUCUCAUUCUGAGGCAUAGGGGGUUGGGGUUUGAACAUAUGAAUUUUGGGGGGGCUGGGGGCUGACACAAUUCAGUCCAAAGCACUCCCUUCUUUCCUUCCUUCCCAGGGUUGUUCAGAUGUCUUCAAAUCCACCACGCAAUGAAGUGGCUAUGAGGCAGCGGAGAGGGCCUGAGUGUUGUGACCUUUGCCUAGCAGUGUGACCUGGGGAUGUUCUUUAGCCUCUUAGCCUUGGUUUUCCCAUUUGUAAAAUAAAGCUAGAAAUACCUUCCUCACCAGGGAGUGGUGAGAUCAAAGGAGUGAUCAACAGGAAUAAAGGAGGUGAUAAAAGGGAACAAACAGGCACAGUAUUCCUCAGGUAUGGACUGAAGCCCCGCUAAGGCUCCUACCGCCCUGGAGAAAUGAAUCAGAAUCCUUCACACAGCCAACAAGACCCUGUGUGACCUCAUGCCCAUCUAGCCCUGGCGGAGCUCCUCUGAGGUGAGAGGGGCCUGAGCCACAUAGAAUUUCUGAUACCUCUGAUAGGAAACAACAACAAAGAGAUAAACAUAAAAAUGCCAAAACAGAG